rnacentral:lncRNA from 1 species
CUAAAUCGCUUGGCGGUACGUCUUUGUCGUUUUAGUUUUAGUUUUUUUUAAUUAGGUUCUCUCGCCUAUUAGCAAAUUAUGUACGAAUUUUUAGUUGAAA